UACGUAGGGGCAAGCGUUGGUCCGGAAUCAUUGGGCGUAAAGCGCGUGUAGGCGGCCAGAAAAGUCCGCUGUGAAAACUCGAGGCUCAACUUCGAGCUGUCGGUGGAAACUUUCUGGCUAGAGUCCGGAAGAGGAGAAUGGAAUUCCUGGGUGUAGCGGUGAAAUGCGCAGAUAUCAGGAAGAACACCCGUGGCGAAGGCGGUUCUCUGGGACGGUACUGACGCUGAGACGCGAAAGCGUGGGGAGCGAACAGG
rnacentral:rRNA from 1 species